rnacentral:RNase_P_RNA from 3 species
GUAGAAAGAAGGAUGGUCGCUGGUGCAAGCCAGAGGAAAGUCCGAGCAGCAUAGAGUAGGGUGCCAGGCGGAGACUACGGUUUAAGCCUGGGAGGCGGUUCGCAAGAGCCGUCGACAGUCCAGAUUGGGCUGGUCGUUAAGACCUCUUUUUGGAGGGAUCAACGGCUGGUAGAGCAACAGAGACCAAACCCUGGCCGUCAGGCCAAGGGUGUGAAAAGGGCAAUCCUCCCUGCUGCAAUCUCCGAAUCGGUCGCUAAAGACGGUUACUCGCCGAGACCGGAAGUCGAGAGCAGCCACAAAGGUGACGAUGUGGCCGGUAUUUCUCGUAAAUACCGAGAUAGAUGACCGUCACGAACAAAACUCGGCUUACUCUCUUUCUAUCCUA